rnacentral:rRNA from 1 species
CACGUGGGCAACCUGCCCUGCAGAUCGGGAUAACUCCGGGAAACCGGUGCUAAUACCGAAUAGUUUGCGGCCUCUCAUGAGGCUGCACGGAAAGACGGUUUCGGCUGUCACUGCAGGAUGGGCCCGCGGCGCAUUAGCUAGUUGGUGGGGUAACGGUCUACCAAGGCGACGAUGCGUAGCCGACCUGAGAGGGUGAUCGGCCACACUGGGACUGAGACACGGCCCAGACUCCUACGGGAGGCAGCAGUGGGGAAUAUUGCACAAUGGGCGAAAGCCUGAUGCAGCCAUGCCGCGUGUGUG